GACGAACGCUGGCGGCGUGCCUAACACAUGCAAGUCGAACGGGGUGAGAUCCUUCAGGGUUUCACUUAGUGGCGAACGGGUGAGUAACGCGUGAGAAACCUGCCUUUCAGUGGGGGACAACAGUUGGAAACGACUGCUAAUACCGCAUAACGUAUAUUGGGGGCAUCCCUGAUAUACCAAAGCUUUAUGUGCUGAAAGAUGGUCUCGCGUCUGAUUAGCUAGAUGGCGGGGUAACGGCCCACCAUGGCGACGAUCAGUAGCCGGUCUGAGAGGAUGAACGGCCACAUUGGGACUGAGAUACGGCCCAGACUCCUACGGGAGGCAGCAGUGGGGAAUAUUGCACAAUGGGCGAAAGCCUGAUGCAGCGACGCCGCGUGAGCGAAGAAGUAUUCGGUAUGUAAAGCUCUAUCAGCAGGGAAGAAGAAUGACGGUACCUGACUAAGAAGCACCGGCUAAUACGU
rnacentral:rRNA from 1 species